rfam:Larimichthys crocea isolate SSNF unplaced genomic scaffold scaffold213, whole genome shotgun sequence.
CCCUGCUCGACACUCUUUCCCUGUUGCACUACUGUGGGAGCUGCAACAAGCAGUGCAAUAAUGAAAGGGCAUCGAUCAAAUGGG